UUGAUAAUCAGAAUGUGAUAUUGAUUGUUAUACAAAAAUUGACGAGCUACAGCUUUCUUUUUAUUAAGGAUUGCUGGCGAUUAUCAUCAGAUAAACAAAUUUAUCGCUGGUAUAGCCGAAGAGCAGGUUCAAGUGAAAGCAAUUUCGGCAGGCCAUUUCAGCCCUCUCGCAAGGGGUGACAGAAGGGAGGGCGCAUGUGCCAUAUUGAUCAGGGUCUCUACAUCCGUGAGCCCGCAUCUGGGAAUGGUGUUGCUCUACGCUGUUGCUGGAUCCCUAACACGUUUCUAUGUGUAAAUCGUCAGGUGUGUUCAUUCGUACGUACACGCGGAAGCUUGAAAUAGGUUGCGUAUUACGUUCCGUACGCAGACGCGGAAGGAGAGCAUUAAUGAGGGGGGAAAAAUCACGGGAAUCGUCACCGAGGAGUAACGAGAAGAAAUUAUUGGAUAAAAAAAUUCUUCGAUAUUUACGCG